GACGAAGGUGGCAAGCGUUACUCGGAAUUACUAGGCGUAAAGCGCGAGCAGGCGGUUUGGUAAGUCUGUUGUGAAAGCCCCGGGCUCAACCCGGGGAGGCCAAUGGAUACUGCCAGACUUGAAUACGGGAGAGGUCACUGGAAUUCCUGGUGUAGCGGUGAAAUGCGUAGAUAUCAGGAGGAACACCGAAGGCGAAGGCAGGUGACUGGACCGUUAUUGACGCUGAGUCGCGAAAGCCGGGGGAGCAAACAGG
rnacentral:rRNA from 1 species